rnacentral:rRNA from 1 species
GAUGAACGCUGGCGGCGUGCCUAAUACAUGCAAGUCGAGCGAAUGGAUUAAGAGCUUGCUCUUAUGAAGUUAGCGGCGGACGGGUGAGUAACACGUGGGUAACCUGCCCAUAAGACUGGGAUAACUCCGGGAAACCGGGGCUAAUACCGGAUAACAUUUUGAACCGCAUGGUUCGAAAUUGAAAGGCGGCUUCGGCUGUCACUUAUGGAUGGACCCGCGUCGCAUUAGCUAGUUGGUGAGGUAACGGCUCACCAAGGCAACGAUGCGUAGCCGACCUGAGAGGGUGAUCGGCCACACUGGGACUGAGACACGGCCCAGACUCCCACGGGAGGCAGCAGUAGGGAAUCUUCCGCAAUGGACGAAAGUCUGACGGAGCAACGCCGCGUGAGUGAUGAAGGCUUUCGGGUCGUAAAACUCUGUUGUUAGGGAAGAACAAGUGCUAGUUGAAUAAGCUGGCACCUUGACGGUACCUAACCAGAAAGCCACGGCUAACUACGUGCCAGCCCCGCAGUAACAC